CUACCCUGGUGGACGAGGAUACUCUCGGGAAACUGAGGCUAAUCCUCGAUAUAGCUUCCAUGCUGGAAUGCAGGAAGCUAGAAAUGCUCUGGCGCCACAGGAUGUGGCUGCGGCCGAUUAGGUAGACGGUGGGGUAACGGCCCACCGUGCCAGUAAUCGGUACGGGUGAUGAGAGUCAGAGCCCGGAGACGGUAUCUGAGACAAGAUACCGGGCCCUACGGGGCGCAGCAGGCGCGAAACCUUUACACUGCACGCCAGUGCGAUAGGGGGACUCCGAGUGCGAGGGCAUACAGUCCUCGCUUUUCUGGACCGUAAGGAGGUCCAGGAACAAGUGCUGGGCAAGACCGGUGCCAGCCGCCGCGGUAAUACCGGCAGCACAAGUGAUGGCCGAUAUUAUUGGGCCUAAAGCGUCCGUAGCUGGCCGGACAAGUCCGUUGGGAAAUCCACGCGCUUAACGCGUGGGCGUCCAGCGGAAACUGUCCGGCUUGGGGCCGGAGGACUCGAGGGGUACGUCCGGGGUAGGAGUGAAAUCCCGUAAUCCUGGACGGACCACCGGUGGCGAAAGCGCCUCGAGAGGACGGACCCGACAGUGAGGGACGAAAGCCAGGGUCUCGAACCGGAUUAGAUACCCGGGUAGUC
rnacentral:rRNA from 1 species